ACUGAGGGUGUCACCCGGGACCGCGGCUCAGCUGAUGGAAUUUGAGAAAUGGCAGGUGUGAGGACUCUGACCUUCCCAUGAAGCAGGUCAUAAGACCCUCAUGUGAGAGAUGCCCUCUCUAUACCUGGAGAAAAGAAGCAGUCUUAUUUGUGAAGACAGAGAGACGCCAAGAGGAAUCUAAAUGAAUAGGCCUUGGAACCCCAGACGCACGGGCCUUGUGCUGUCGCUGCCGUGGCACCCCUUCUAGAAGGACUCUAUUCUCUAUAACAGAAGUGGGAGCCUUGGACAACUGAACGCCUAUCUCUAGCUCAAGAAAUGUCAGCUCUUUUUUUUUUUUUGAGACUGUCACCCAGUCGGGAGUACAGUGGCGCCAUCUUGGCUCUCUGUAACCUCCACCUCCUGGGUUCAAGCGAUUCUCCUGCCUCAGCCUCCUGAGUAGCUGGGGCUACAGGUAUGCACCAUCACUCCUGGCUAAUUGUUGUAUUUUUAGUAGAUAAUGGGGUUUCACCAUGUUGGCCAGGGUGGUCUCAAACUCCUGACCUCAGGUGAUCUGCCUGCCUCGGCCUCCCAAAGUGCUGGGAUUACAGACGUGAGCCACCAUGCCCAGCCAAGAAAUGUCAAUUCUUUAUCGUAGCCUGGCUUUCCAUAUUUCUCACUAGGGUUUUUAUUCUCUAGUUUGUAAAUCACAUUUGGCGUUUGUAGAUCACUCCUUCCCUUUUAGUGGCAUUCUCUAUUAGGUGUCCAUCUCCCAAUAUGAAGAAACAGUUUUCUGCUUUUUCCUCCUUUAUCUGAUCCAUUUACAGAUUUAUUACAUUUAUAAUAGGCUAGGUAUUGGGGAUACAAAAAUGAAUAAGAUAUGGUCUGUUUUCAAAGGUAUGCAGAAACUUUUCUAUAUAUUCCUACUGACUUGUAUUUGUAUUUCUUGAAUUAAAAACAAUCCUGGCUGUGUUUUUUUUUUUUUUUUUUUGCUCUUAGUGAAUCUUUGUUUCUUCUUUUCAUUAUGGCAUUCCAGUUGAGUUUCACCACGCAUUAUCAUGAGAAUAAAUAAUUUCACUGACUUUAAUAAUA
rnacentral:lncRNA from 1 species